AUUCCAGUAUUUCAUUAUAUAAUACAUAUUCAAAAUGUGGAAUAUCCAAAAGAACAAACCGCAUAGCAUUAACUUACAUGAACUGUUAAAACAAAAAAAUGUUCCUUGGAUAUUUUACCAUCCCCACUUGUGGAGCCAAUAUUCCAACAUACACUAUCAUUACCAACAAUAGACAAUACAUUAAGCGAGUUUGGAUUUGAUUGGACAUCAGUUGUGUGUUGUCGUGACUAAGCUUCAGGUGUGUGUUGGCGUGAUUGAGUACUGAGUUGUCGUGAUGGAGUGGGCAUGCUCUGUCUAGAUUGUGAAGGGCCUUGUCUUGAUUGCGUCGGUGAUUGAAGUCUUGAACAACGUAAGAUUUACUUCUGGAACUCUAAAUACCAAAGAAAAAUAAAAGAAAAGUUACUUAUAUAGAUACAGACAUUAAUAUGCCAUAUGAAAAUCUCGUCAACAUAGAGAACAGACCACCUCUACAUAUAUUGCUAAAAACACCGAGCACUUUAGUUCCCAUAAACCAACAAAAAAAUUCUUCCAAAGUAUUAUCCAAGUCAUAUAAUCAGUGAUACUUAGUAAUUCUAAAAGCCAAACUUAAAGUCUGCA
rnacentral:lncRNA from 1 species